UAGAGUCCUGACUUCUGUACCCUUUCUCACUCUUUAGUUCAAUCUCAUUGUCAGAGUUUUGGCUCGCUCUGCCUCAUUGGUCAUUGCUUCAGAUAUUCGACUCCUGGUAAGCCCCACGCCCCUCUCCGUCUGGUCGAGCCAGCCCUCGGGGUCCCCGUCUUCACCAUGGAAAAUCCCAACAAGGGCGAGAUUCAGCAAAUCUUCAAACGCCUCCGCUCCGUGGCCACCAACAAGGUGUGCUUUGAUUGCCAUGCCAAGAAUCCCACAUGGGCCAGUAUCACGUAUGGGAUCUUCAUUUGCAUCGACUGCAGCGGGAUUCACCGCUCGUUGGGCGUGCAUCUGACGUUUGUGCGGUCCACCCAGUUGGAUUCCAAUUGGACCUGGCAGCAAAUCAGGCAGAUGCAAUUGGGCGGAAAUGCCAAUGCCAACACGUUUUUUCGACAACACAAUUGUGUGACCACGGAUGCCCAACAGAAAUACAAGUCGCGUGCCGCCCAAUUGUACCGCGAGAAGCUGCACCAUUCGGCGGCUCAGGCCAUGCGGCUCCACGGCAACAAGUUGUUCAUUGAUGGCCCGCAGAAUGCCCCGACUACCAACGAAGAUAAAGAAGGAGCUGAAGGAGCUGAGGCUCUCUCUGAUGCGGAUUUUUUCGAGACCGAGGUGAACAAAGCCAGUUCAUCAUCCAACACGGACUUCAACUCUGAGACGUCGUCCGUGAAGAGUCAAAGUGAUGACCUUUCUGAAGAUUAUUAUUUGAGCAACAUUGCCAAGAACGGAGAUCUCAAACCUGGAGAAGGACCCAACGUUGAAGCUGCUUUGACCAUGACUCCGGAUCAAGUUCUGAACAAACAAGAACCGCGAAAGUCAACCAUUGGCCAACGGAAACCUCAGGGCAAAAAGUUGGGAGCCAAAAAACUGGGCGGAGGUCUGGGAGCCACGAAGGUUAAGAAGGAUUUCGCCGAGGUCGAGCGUGAGGCCGAAAUGGCCGAUCAAGUCCGAACUCGGAUGGAUGAGGAGAAAAAAGAGAUGGCCAUGAAGAGCCAGGAGGAUCAAGCAAAGGCCGUGGCCUCCAUGAGACUGGCAUAUCAAGAUCUAUCCGCCCAGCAGAAGAAGAAGGAAGACAAAAUCCGCCAGAUAGACCCGAAGAAGGCCUCGGAAUUUGAGCGGUUAGGUAUGGGCGUGUCGGGCAAAUCAGGGGUUAGCCAUUCGGCCAUAACCGAGUUCGGUUCUAUUGAGCAAGAGGAACCUCAUGGUGGGCGUUUCGGAGGCGGGCGAUCAUCGUCGGGUCUGACUCCAACGUAUACCAGACAAACGUUUGCUCGCGAGGAGGUUGAAGAGCGUGAUGAUUUCGGAGGUUUCGGAAACAGUUGGAAAUCGUCUUCCAAGAGCUACGAUGAUGAUUUUGGAGGUCCCUCCCCAUUCCGGAAAGCAGCUUCUAGUAGCAACGACUUUGAAGACUCCAAUUGGGAGAAGGAGUUUGAAGUCCUGAAAACCACAUCCAGUAUCGGUUCCAAUUCCGCAAAAUCCACCAGGAACGAAUGGAAUAAUAACGAACGCCCGGUCCUUAAAAGCAUGAAUCUAGGGUCAAUGUCGCAGAGCAAUUCCAGUUAUGGAACAGAUGAAGCUCAGAAGAAGUUCGCGGGAGCCAAAUCUAUCUCUUCGGAUAUGUUCUUCGACCAGGACGCUAAUGGCGGCCCUGAUGCAAAUGUAAACAGAUUCCAGGGUUCGUCGUCGAUUUCAAGCGCCGAAUAUUUUGGACGGGAAGAGACCCGGCCAGGUGGUUCAAACUAUUCCAACAUGAAUACCCCGGAUAUGGACGAGGUGAAGGAGAGUGUAAAACAGGGUGUUUCCAAAGUGGCCGGACGAUUAUCUAACAUGGCGUCUGGUGUCAUGAACCAGCUCCAGGUUAAGAUCCAAUCUUUGAAAUAGCAAUCUGUCCAAGGGUUUUAUGUUAUAAAUGAUCAAAGCUAAAGAAUGUGCAUUUUCCAAUUUUCUAAUCAGACCAGAAUGGGCAGCACAGCAAAAUCUACUGAAUAGAACCAUAUGUGUAAGAGGCACUGGGUCCAAGGAUCGGUAUGGAUAUUGAGAGAUGGUCGACACACCUCUGAACUGAACUGGAUAUUCGGCAACACACGAAAGAGAAGGAUGUCUUGGACACACCUUUAUCACAGCAGCCCAAUGAUGACCAUGUUUUUUUACUCGGUCGUUUUGCCGUGAUUGUUGAAUAUAUUGCCAAAAGAUCAUCUUACCUAUCCUUUUGCAAUGACAGACCAUUAACCAAUUCAUUAUAUUUACGGUUUUUUUUUCCUUUUGCAUUUUUUAUACAGCCAAUCACCUCCCAAUCAACCUCUUAUUCCGACUUUUGUUUUCCAUCUUUCUUUCUUGACAUCAUAGUUCUAUCCAAACCGUGUGCUUUUUUUGUUCCCAUCAUGGUACAUAUUAUAUUCUGUAUGGUCUUUUCAUCAUAUUCCACUCUGACCUUGGGUCAUGACUUUUAGAGUUCUCAGUUCUGAGGACUUAGACGUGAUAUGCCAGACGCUAUGGAAAUAAAUCUCGUUUGUUGUUUCUA